CGCUGAGCAGCGACGGCAGCCACCCAAGGAGCCAGCAGGACGGUGCGGCCACCCCGGGUAUCCCGGCCCCAGCACCGCGCUCCCGGUUGGAAAUGCCAGUCCCACGAGAAGGCCCAGUCCGGGGUGCCCACUCUGGGCAGGCUUGGCCUCCUCGUCCAGCUCUCCUAGACCAGCAAUUAGUCGGGUUUAUAACCUGCUUUGAAGCUCAGGCCUAUAAUCAUUAGAUCCAAGCAAAGGCAAAGGAGCACCCGAUGGCCCAGGGCAGUGAGGUUUGGAAAAGUGUUCUCUGCGCUUGGACAGGUCGCCCCCCACCAUGCUGCAUCCUCUUCCCAAACCCUGCAUCCUGGAUCACUCUCUUGAGCCUCCUCUUGAACAAGUGCUGCCUGACACAGGUCCGGAUGGGAGCAGCUUGCUCCAACCAACCUGAUGGCCCCCCGUCCCACAGCCUGAUGCCAUCGGACAGCAGGACAGGCCCACAGCCUCUGAGAAAGAGGAACGCACAGGAAACGGAGUGGGGUGGGUGAAUCCCCCAGCCUGGUGCGGGGAGGCAGAGCUGGAAGGUCAAACCCUGCUUUGCUGCUUUGUCAGCAAACAUUUACAGGACACCUCCUCGUAGCAGUUUCACACCAAGACAUCUGCUCUGCAAAUCUCUGUUGCCACUGUGGGAAGGAAAGCUGUUAGUCUCGUGUAAAUCUAAAAAUGGGAAGUGUUGGUAUUUGUCCCUGUUCCCCAGACUUCAUCGCCAAGUGGAUAUUUGUGGUUCAGUGAUCCACUCAAAAACAAGAUGGGGAGAUGCAAGACAGAAAGUGGAGAGAAGAGUUAUGUGUUGAGUACCAGAUGCCAGAGGCUGAGCUGAGCUGGGCAAUUUACACACAUCAUCUCAGUUAAUCUUCACGAAACAGAUGCUGGUUGCUGUAAAUACCACUGAGGAACUUUAAUGUGCCCCAGAUGUAGAAGCCUCUAGUGACCUAAAUACACAAACAGGGACUAAAGAGAACCAAGUAAAAGAUUCAAGAUUUCAAGUGUAAGCGGAGAGAUACUGCUUCAAAGUGGAAGAGACCAAACCUUCACCACCAAAGGAAUGUGAACUAGUAAGUUGAGUCCAAAGAUAAAAGCUAAAGACUUGAUAAGAGCCAGAAAAGCAGAGUGCCUGGUCUCUGCUAGAAUGACUCAGCACCCUCGCAGUUAGGCUGGAAGCCCUUUCAGCCUCUUCAAGAGCUGCUUUUCCUGGCCUGAUAAUGAGC
rnacentral:lncRNA from 10 species